AGGUCGAGGUGGAGAAGGUGUCAUUCAGCCUAACGCUCGCGAAAAUGGAACAUUCUCGAGUGGAGGAUGCCCUAAACACCGAGCUUAGGCUUGCGCGCAAGGAAGCUGUUGACCUUCGCCGCAAAGUCCAUGAACUUGCCCAAGAAAAAGUCGAGCUUGAAAGCAGAAUCGUGCCUCUACGUACCAAGGCGAGCGACCUGGAGGCUCAAAUUCAAGCCAACGCCGAUAAGGUACAGAAGUUGGAG
rnacentral:lncRNA from 1 species